GACGAACGCUGGCGGCGUGCCUAAUACAUGCAAGUCGAACGAGAGCGACCGGUGCUUGCACUGGUCAAUCUAGUGGCGAACGGGUGAGUAACACGUGGGUAACCUGCCCAUCAGAGGGGGAUAACAUCCGGAAACGGAUGCUAAAACCGCAUAGGUCUUCGAGCCGCAUGGCUUGAAGAGGAAAAGAGGCGCAAGCUUCUGCUGAUGGAUGGACCCGCGGUGCAUUAGCUAGUUGGUGAGGUAACGGCUCACCAAGGCCGUGAUGCAUAGCCGACCUGAGAGGGGGAUCGGCCACAUUGGGACUGAGACACGGCCCAAACUCCUACGGGAGGCAGCAGUAGGGAAUCUUCCGCAAUGGACGCAAGUCUGACGGAGCAACGCCGCGUGAGUGAAGAAGGUUUUCGGAUCGUAAAACUCUGUUGUUAGAGAAGAACAAGUGCUAGAGUAACUGUUAGCGCCUUGACGGUAUCUAACCAGAAAGCCACGGCUAACUACGUG
rnacentral:rRNA from 1 species